rnacentral:rRNA from 1 species
CUACGGGAGGCACCAGUGGGGAAUAUUGCACAAUGGGCGCAAGCCUGAUGCAGCAACGCCGCGUGAGGGAUGAAGGCCUUCGGGUUGUAAACCUCUUUUAGCAGGGAAGAAGCGAAAGUGACGGUACCUGCAGAAAAAGCACCGGCUAACUACGUGCCAGCAGCCGCGGAAAUACGUAGGGUGCAAGCGUUGUCCGGAAUUAUUGGGCGUAAAGAGCUCGUAGGCGGUUUGUCACGUCUGCUGUGAAAAUCCAAGGCUCAACCUUGGACUUGCAGUGGGUACGGGCAGGCUAGAGUGCGGUAGGGGAGAGGGGAAUUCCUGGUGUAGCGGUGGAAUGCGCAGAUAUCAGGAGGAACACCAAUGGCGAAGGCACAUCUCUGGGCCGUAACUGACGCUGAGGAGCGAAAGCGUGGGGAGCGAACAGGAUUAGAUACCCUUGUAGUC